GCCCUCGUGGCUCAACUGGAUAGAGCAUCACGUUGCGGACGUGAAGGUUAGAGGUUCGAGUCCUCUCGGGGGCA
rnacentral:tRNA from 1 species